rnacentral:rRNA from 1 species
UUUUAUGGAGAGUUUGAUCCUGGCUCAGGAUGAACGCUGGCGGCGUGCCUAAUACAUGCAAGUCGAGCGAACAGACGAGAAGCUUGCUUCUCUGAUGUUAGCGGCGGACGGGUGAGUAACACGUGGAUAACCUACCUAUAAGACUGGGAUAACUUCGGGAAACCGGAGCUAAUACCGGAUAAUAUUUUGAACCGCAUGGUUCA